CUACGUGCCAGCAGCCGCGGUAAUACGUAGGGCGCGAGCGUUGUCCGGAAUUAUUGGGCGUAAAGGGCUUGUAGGCGGUUGGUCGCGUCUGCCGUGAAAUUCUCUGGCUUAACUGGGGGCGUGCGGUGGGUACGGGCUGACUUGAGUGCGGUAGGGGAGACUGGAACUCCUGGUGUAGCGGUGGAAUGCGCAGAUAUCAGGAAGAACACCGGUGGCGAAGGCGGGUCUCUGGGCCGUUACUGACGCUGAGGAGCGAAAGCGUGGGGAGCGAACAGGAUUAGAUACCCUGGUAGUCCACGCUGUAAACGUCGGGCACUAGGUGUGGGGGCCACCCGUGGUUUCUGCGCCGUAGCUAACGCUUUAAGUGCCCCGCCUGGGGAGUACGGCCGCAAGGCUAAAACUCAAAGGAAUUGACGGGGGCCCGCACAAGCGGCGGAGCAUGCGGAUUAAUUCGAUGCAACGCGAAGAACCUUACCAAGGCUUGACAUGC
rnacentral:rRNA from 1 species